GUGCCAGCCGCCGCGGUAAAACGUAGGAGACAAACGUUAUCCGGAGUUACUGGGCGUAAAGGGCGUGCAGGUGGUCUGUUAAGUCUGGCGUGAAAGCUCCUGGCUAAACCGGGAGAGGUCGUUGGAUACUGGCGGACUAGAGGACGGUAGAGGCGUGUGGAAUUCCGGGUGUAGUGGUGAAAUGCGUAGAGAUCCGGAGGAACACCAGUGGCGAAGGCGACACGCUGGGCCGUACCUGACACUGAUACGCGACAGCAUGGGGAGCGAACGGGAUUAGAAACCCCGGUAGUCC
rnacentral:rRNA from 1 species